GAGGCAGUUGCUGAAGGAGAGAACAGGUGGAGGCCAUCUGACAGUGACAUUCCUCAAAGCUGGGCAGCACAUUCUUCCUUGAAGGGGUCUGUCUGACACACCUCCGUAUCUGCCACAUGGGAAUAGGUUUGCCUAUCUUUACCAAGAGCUUGAUGAUUUGAACCACUGACUGAUUGCCCUGUACUUGGAGGAUGUGAGGAAGCAGAAUUGAGCCAAUAAAGAGAAGAGGAAGAAGGAGCCACAGAACUGAGUGGGAUGUCCCCUGAGCACUCCUUGGUGGAGCAAAAGUCUUGCAAGUCUCUAGUGCGCUGGGCAGGCUGAGGGCGUUCAGCCGAGAACACAGCUCUGUAAAUACAUCAGCGAGGAUGCAUAUAUACAGUUUCCCCAGUGCUCCCUCAGACCCUUGGAGGCUGGGCUACUCCAAGCUCUGUUUCCUGCAAAAAAAUGGAGUAAGUCCUGUGGAGUCUAAAUACACAUUCCCUCUGCAUUAUACCCACGCCUCGACUUCAUUAUAUCUAGGAGCACUGAGACAAAGAGAUUUAUAACAAACUUCAUCCAAGCCAAGAAUGAAACACGGCAGCCUCCAUGCAGCAGGAAACCCAUUGAUCUGUUUCUUAUAAGCAUGUGGUUCUAUGCUGUUUUUCUGCCAAAGCUUUUCCCUGCCUCCCACUUGAGGAGCAUACACCAGCUGAUUCUGCAGAUUGACUCUACAUCAUUCUCUGUCAUGAAGCCAUGGCAUGUGUUUAUGCGUCUGUAACAAAGCGUUUAUAUUCUGCCAUCUGCAUAAAAACUGCUGAAGGACAUUUCAGCAAGAAUCCCUAUGGUUUAUGCAGCUGCAUGUUGAACAUGAAAAUCUAAGAUAUGACAGUGGUCUUUCAUUCAUACAACCUUUGAAUUUUGGUAAAGUUCUGAUGUAAUGUUAAAGAGUGGUAUUUUGAGGACUACGCAUCAAGAUAUAAACAUGGCACAUCUUUUAUAAUAUCAGCCACUGGAAGACAUUUGAAAUAAUAUUUGUAUAAUUGUGGGCUGUAUUAUCUUUCUUUCUUGCACAUAAUAAAGUUUCACUGGAAGUAAACUUUUCAAGUAUCAAUUUUAGAAUUCCUGAUUCAUCCUAAGCGGUUUUGUUCUUUUUUUACAGGUGAAAUCAUACUUAAAAGUUGUAUGUAUGCAGCUGGAGAUACGUGCCUUUGAAAUCCUUUCAUAACCAAUAUUCUAAUCUCCUAUUUAAGUAGGGUAAAUAGGCCAUUUAUCCUCAACAUCUGAUACAGCUGUCUACAAUAUUAAAACAUUUAGCAAUACCAUGAAAUUCGGAGAAGAAAUGUAAUGUUUUCUACCCACUCAGGCCAAUAUUUCUAAAGCUAAUGUGGUGGGAAGAUGCGUGGUGUUACCCAAACUAUUCACAAUUAUUUCAGAAAAUUUGGAAACAGAAGAAAAUCAUCCAUAAUUUUGUCACCCCAAUUUAACAAAUCAUAUCUUUAAAUACUGUCUCUUAGUCAUUUGUGCGUAGUUGCAUCCUUGCAGUCACAGAGUAUGGCCUAUACUUUUUCACUUUGUAUUACAAUGCAAGUCUUUUCAUUCUGCUGCAUAUUCUUCAUAAGCUUUAUUAAUGGCUGCCUUAGCAGUUAUUCCAUCCACUAUUCACUAUUUUGAGGUUAAUUUUUUAUUAUAAUUAAUGUAAUGAUGAAUAUCUUCUUACACAUAGACUUUUUAAUUAUUUUUUUUUUAGAAUAAAAUUCCAGGAAUUAAUUAGCUGGCUUAAGUAACACAUACAUUUUAUUGCUUAGAAUACAUUAUAAAACUACUUUCAAAAAUAAUUAUUUCAUCUUGUAAGGGUAUACAAGUACAUUAUCAUUUAAUAUUUUAGUAAAUUAAGUAAAAAUUUAGGUCUUUGUUUUACUUGAUCAUUUCUUUUGAUAACAGCUAGGUUUGACACUGUUUUACAUCUUGUCCACUGUUUGUUAUUCAUAUUGAGUGAAUUUUUUGUUGUUGCUCUGGACUGGUGAUAGUUUCUAAAUGAGGAUCUUAAUUUCAAU
rnacentral:lncRNA from 1 species